UUCAAUCAAACAGAUACAAAUCGUCGUGUAGAAAAUGAAGUUUUUUCUGCAAAUUUUAUCCAUUACAAUGGUAGUUUACUCGACACAAGCUUGCAGAGAUAACACGUGCAGCGCUUUCUGCGCCGGAGAAAAAAAGGAUUCAUCGAAGAAGUUAACAUUUUACCGAAAAUCCGAUUUGGAUAAAUUCAACGAAAAUUUUGAAGGAGAUGAACAAUUCAUUUAUUUGAGUCAAGGAGAGUGUAAAUAUACCGAUGAUUGUUACCAAAUGACAGAAACGGAAAUUUGUGCUAUUCCGGAACCGGGAGCGUCUGGCUAUCCACAAACCUUUAGAAACUUCUGAGACUUAAAUCAAUACAAUUGCGAUAAUCCGAAGAAUGAAUACCUUUACUACCACGAUGGCUGCUGUAAUGCCCUAGACGAGCGAACUCUUUCAAAGGAAGAUUGUAGCUGUUUGGAAUGUGACGAUUCAUUGAAGCCAGUAUGUGGAUUCCCGAAGGAUCCAGUCGAAGCGCAACCAUCUACUUUCGAGAACUACUGUAUGUUCCAAAAAUUCAAUUGCUUACAUCCUGAUGACGAACAUUUCUACUGGCACGAAGAAAAAUGUUAUUGCGAUGAAGACUAACUGCCAAAGCGUCAAAUUUAGUGAUCAUUGGUUGACGAUCUGGCCAACACAUCAUAUGAAUGGAUU